GUGCCUAAGGGAUGAACAGGUCCCCAUAGUUACAUCCAUUUCGUUCACUUUGUUGGCUAAUAACUCUAAUUUUUAGCUGAUCAUUAAGGAUGGGAAAUCU
rfam:Oryza glumipatula chromosome 5, whole genome shotgun sequence.